rnacentral:rRNA from 1 species
UACAGAGGUCUCAAGCGUUUGUUCGGAUUCAUUGGGCGUAAAGGGUGCGUAGGUGGCGCCGUAAGUCGGGUGUGAAAUUUCGGAGCUUAACUCCGAAACUGCAUUCGAUACUGCGGUGCUUGAGGACUGGAGAGGAGACUGGAAUUCAUGGUGUAGCAGUGAAAUGCGUAGAGAUCAUGGAGGAAGACCAGUGGCGAAGGCGGGUCUCUGGACAGUUCCUGACACUGAGGCACGAAGGCCAGGGGAGCAAACGGG